rnacentral:lncRNA from 1 species
AUCUCAAGGACUUCUUCAUCGUCUUUUUCUCUCUUGUUUCUCACUAGCCUUCCAAGAAAAAGAGCUGGAGUCACGAUUGGUUUGGGAGGUGUUGGUUCCGCUUUUGCUUGUGAAUUGUCAUCUUGUUUUUCCUUGCACAAGUCUUGUCAAUGAUUUUUACUAGGAUAGGGCUCCAGAAUAAUUUUGCUUCUAAGAGUCACUGAACUCACGUUUUAGCUCGGAUUAGGUUCUAUUUGGAUUGACAACUUCUCUUAGGAAUCCAAUUCACCCCUUGAGAUGGCAAGUUGACUCAUUGAGUUCUCUAAUUUCUCCCUACUUGCUCUUCUUCCCUGUUGGAAUUUAAGAGUGUUAGCAAUAAGGGC